rnacentral:rRNA from 1 species
UGGAACAGGUGCUAAUACCGUAUAACAAUCGAAACCGCAUGGUUUUGAUUUGAAAGGCGCUUUCGGGUGUCGCUGAUGGAUGGACCCGCGGUGCAUUAGCUAGUUGGUGAGGUAACGGCUCACCAAGGCCACGAUGCAUAGCCGACCUGAGAGGGUGAUCGGCCACAUUGGGACUGAGACACGGCCCAAACUCCUACGGGAGGCAGCAGUAGGGAAUCUUCGGCAAUGGACGAAAGUCUGACCGAGCAACGCCGCGUGAGUGAAGAAGGUUUUCGGAUCGUAAAACUCUGUUGUUAGAGAAGAACAAGGAUGAGAGUAACUGUUCAUCCCUUGACGGUAUCUAACCAGAAAGCCACGGCUAACUACGUGCCAGCAGCCGCGGUAAUACGUAGGUGGCAAGACGUUGUCCGGAUUUAUUGGGCGUAAAGCGAGCGCAGGCGGUUUCUUAAGUCUGAUGUGAAAGCCCCCGGCUCAACCGGGGAGGGUCAUUGGAAACUGGGAGACUUGAGUGCAGAAGAGGAGAGUGGAAUUCCAUGUGUAGCGGUGAAAUGCGUAGAUAUAUGGAGGAACACCAGUGGCGAAAGGCGGCUCUCUGGUCUGUAACUGACGCUGAGGCUCGAAAGCGUGGGGAGCAAACAGGAUUAGAUACCCUGGUAGUCCACGCCGUAAACGAUGAGUGCUAAGUGUUGGAGGGUUUCCGCCCUUCAGUGCUGCAGCUAACGCAUUAAGCACUCCGCCUGGGGAGUACGACCGCAAGGUUGAAACUCAAAGGAAUUGACGGGGGCCCGCACAAGCGGUGGAGCAUGUGGUUUAAUUCGAAGCAACGCGAAGAACCUUACCAGGUCUUGACAUCCUUUGACCACUCUAGAGAUAGAGCUUCCCCUUCGGGGGCAAAGUGACAGGUGGUGCAUGGUUGUCGUCAGCUCGUGUCGUGAGAUGUUGGGUUAAGUCCCGCAACGAGCGCAACCCUUAUUGUUAGUUGCCAUCAUUCAGUUGGGCACUCUAGCAAGACUGCCGGUGACAAACCGGAGGAAGGUGGGGAUGACGUCAAAUCAUCAUGCCCCUUAUGACCUGGGCUACACACGUGCUACAAUGGGAAGUACAACGAGUUGCGAAGUCGCGAGGCUAAGCUAAUCUCUUAAAGCUUCUCUCAGUUCGGAUUGCACGCUGCAACUCGCCUGCAUGAAGCCGGAAUCGCUAGUAAUCGC